CAGCCGCCGCGGUAAUACCGGCAGCUCGAGUGAUGGCCGCUAUUAUUGGGCCUAAAGCGUCCGUAGCCGGCUAGACAGGUCCGUCGGGAAAUCCACCCGCUCAACGGGUGGGCGUCCGGCGGAAACCAGCUAGCUUGGGACCGAGCGACCUGAGGGGUACGUCCGGGGUAGGAGUGAAAUCCCGUAAUCCCGGACGGACCAUCGGUGGCGAAAGCGCCUCAGGAGAGCGGAUCCGACGGUGAGGGACGAAAGCUAGGGUCUCGAACCGGAUUAGAUACCCGGGUAGUCCUAGCCGUAAACGAUGCUCGCUAGGUGUGGCGCUGGCUACGAGCCAGCGCUGUGCCGUAGGGAAGCCGUGAAGCGAGCCGCCUGGGAAGUACGUCCGCAAGGAUGAAACUUAAAGGAAUUGGCGGGGGAGCAC
rnacentral:rRNA from 1 species